rnacentral:rRNA from 1 species
UAAAGAGUUCUAUAACUCCCAAACCCAUGUGAACAUACCUAACGUUGCCUCGGCAGGUCGCACCUACCUUGUAGCACCCUACCCUGUAGGGCCUACCCGGGAGGUGCGGGUAAGCCUGCCGGCGGCCCACCAAACUCUGUUUGAUAUUGAAUUCUGAACCUAUAACUAAAUAAGUUAAAACUUUCAACAACGGAUCUCUUGGUUCUGGCAUCGAUGAAGAACGCAGCGAAAUGCGAUAAGUAAUGUGAAUUGCAGAAUUCAGUGAAUCAUCGAAUCUUUGAACGCAUAUUGCGCCCAUUAGUAUUCUAGUGGGCAGGACCGUUCGAGCGUCAUUUCAACCCUUAAGCCUUCGUUGCUUAGUGUUGGGAGCCUACGGCAACGUAGCUCCUCAAAGUUAGUGGCGGAGUUGGUUCACACUCUAGACGUAGUAAUUUUUUAUCUCGCCUAUUAGUUGGACUAAUCCCCUGCCGUAAAACCCCCAAUUUAUCAAGGUUGACCUCGAAUCGGUUCAGACAAACUCGCUAAAUUGAAGCAUCUUAGUCAGCGAAGGAAAAGAAACCAACAGGGAUUGCCCUAGUAACGGCGAGUGAAGCGGCAACAGCUCAAAUUUGAAAUCUGGCCCUCGGGUCCGAGUUGUAAUUUGUAGAGGAUGCUUUUGGCGCGGUGCCUUCCGAGUUCCC